rnacentral:tRNA from 1 species
UGGCUUAGUCAGUAGAGCAUGUGACUCUUGAUCUCAGAUUUGUGAGUUCAACCCUCAC